rnacentral:tRNA from 1 species
GCGGGUGUAGUUGAUUGGCUCAACGCUACCUUCCCAAGGUAGAAAGGGCGGUUCGACUCCGCUCACCCGCUCCA